GUGUCCACACUGGUGAGCAGUCCUCUAGUCUGACUGUGAAAAUACUUAAGCUUUGAAAGAAUGCUUUAGAGAGCUUCAGGACCUGCUCCUCAGCUCAACACUACUGCAGAAGCUGCCUUGCAGCAGACAGACAGUUCAUUUGACCCGGUAAAACCAGAGCCAGAGAUGACAAGCAGCGGAGACCUCGUCAGUCCAGCAGUGAAGCUGCAGAUGACAGCUCCCAGCAGUGGACUCAGUCAGGCUGGCAAUGACUGACACCAGAUCUGUACCAGCCACAGUGUGUACAGUAAGCAGUGGCAGUUCAACCAAGAGGAGAAUCAGGAGGUGUGGAAAUAACAGACCAGCUAAUGUAGGAGCUGCGGUAUGAGCAGUAUGUCCUUCUUCCUGCUGACAAUCCCUCCAACACUGAUGAAAGGGCUUCCGUCCUUGACUUCCUCUGGACUGGAUUUCUACACUCAAAGACAAAAGUGACUUGACGAGAUGAGUGUCAAAGUGUCAUUUUGGUUUAGCCAACCAAAAGUCAUCUGCAGCAGCUGUUUUAAUAAAUGUAUACAGUAUAUAUUGUCUUGCACAUUUUUUUUAUUGUCAUGUCUAAGACAAAGUCUUAGUGACACCCUGUAGGCCCCUGUCAGUCCCCUCAGCUCCUUAUGGCUUAUGAUCCCUUAAAAUGAAGCUGUGUCUACUGGUGACCCUGCAUUACAGGUCACCAGUCAGCGUAAACCAAAGAGUGUUUUUUUUCCUUUUCCUCCAUAGUUUUUUCCUUCUCAGUAACAGAAUAUUUUAUUUUCCUUCUUAUUAUUUUGAUCAUCUGGUGACUCCUCAGGUUCUUCUAACUGUAAGAGCCCUCCUGGGGCCCCAACCUCUAUGUUGGGAACCACUUCCCUAGGUCGAUUACAACUCUCCAUCUGGGUCCGUUUUUCUCCCACGGGAAGCCUCACCAAGUUCCUUACAGCACUGAAUUCUUUUCAGUACCCCCUACCACCCUCAUAACAGCCUCAUGUUCUUCCCACCAUCGACACACUCCUGCUUUAACUGAUCAGGCUCCAGUGUUCCUCUCAGUUCAGCAUGACCAUGUUUGGUUAUUAAUGUUAAACGCCACUUUAACAGUGACUUUUACGUCCCUUUGUGUUUAGAUCAUGUUCUAUUCUCUGACACAUCUGUGUUCACAUCUUCAGUCGCUGGACCAGUAAAUCGGACUGUAUUUAAUUUGUUUGGUGACUCUGCAUAAAUGUAAGGUUAUCCUCAUUUUCACUUAAACUUUUCACAUUACUGUGUGUGCGUGUGUGUGUGUGUGUGUGUGUGACAGACAGACGGAGGAAAAUGGAGAGAGGGCUUCCUGUGUGUGAUUUACAGAGCCAAGGGGAAAGAGAAAGAAGACCAUAUUAGGCAAUGUUUGGCUCAACAGGAGAGAUGGCUCUGACUGUUAUCACAGUCUGUCCAAACACACACACAUGCAUGCUCACACACACACACACACACACACACACACACACACACACACACACAGGGCUGGCAGCCUGCAGUCAGACUAUGUCACAUCCUUCCAUCACUGAGAGUUCAUGCUCUGAUUUAAAUAGGUUUUCUGGCACAACAUGAAAUACAAAGUGCUAAAAUGUUUGGCUUUUUACUUUAUGGAAUACAUUUUUAAAAAGAGAAUUGUAAUAGCGACUGUGAUGUGUGUAGAUUUAGUCUGGAUACAGGUUUGUUGUGAACUUGUCCUUUAACGCAAACUGAAGGCAGACUGAGGGUGAGCUGGAACUGGACCGAAGGAAAACUGUAGAUUGCAGUUCACUGUUUAACAACAGAAUUCAGUUCAGUAUCCCUACUCACCUGACCCCCUGGGGUCUAAGUUUGAUUGGUAUAGAAUCAUGUACAAUAGGGAUGAAUGAAGGGAAUUUCAUUUUUGGUUCAUCCAAACCUUUUUGUCUAUUUUGUCUCUGAUAUUUUGUCCAGUGGGGGGGACACCUUUCUGCAGCUGUACACUGUUGUGGACGCAGUGUCUUUUUUUGAUGCUUCCACUAGGAGUUGCCAAAGUCAGUAACACAUAGGAGCUUCAACAUUUUGAUACUUAUUUUUAAUGUCAAAGUGGAUCAAAUACACAACCAACAGUCAUCAGCUGCUUAGGAAUGCUAUCAGACUACAAAAUAUCACUAUGGCUACGACAGACAAUGGGAAGCAACAUCAUGAAAAAUCUAUGACAUAAUUUUUAGCUUGAAGGAGUGUGUGUGUUUUGGGGUAUGUGAGAGGUUUGCUGUGUCAUAGUGAUAGGUUGCCAUGGCUUCCCCACGUUUGACUUCCCAUCUGCACACUGUACCACACACAGUACAGAUUCUGUAUUGCUUUGGCAGAUACAAAGAAUAUUAUGUAGAUUUAUAUGAGGGUGGAACAUGAAAAAUCAGUAAGCCUAUAGCACAAAGGUCAGAUGAUUUCAUAUUACAGUUAAUGUAUGUUUAAAUGUUCCUCAUAUUUGACUUUAAUAUCAUUAUUCUGCAGAUUUUGGUAAUGACAUUCAAAAGACAAUUAGUAUUCAGUCAUACCUUAGGAUCAUCCCAUAUUCUUUUUCCACAUUACAAAAUCCACUUAAGAGUAAAAUGAGUCAUUUCUGGACAUAAAAUGAAAUUGUAUCAGGACCUGCUUCCAAAGAAUGGGAAUUUAACAAUUCUGUUAAACCUAAGCUGACUUUAUCUUCUGUGGUAGCACUGUACUUUUUCAUUAUCCCCACUGCAGAAAGGAAAGCUGCAUUUCCCCAGCAGCUGCUAGAUAUUUCAGGCCCCUCACAGCAGCUCAGCAGCUGCUCUGACAUGAUAAACCUGGUUUGUUCAAGGGCCAGCUCUGGAGACCCUGAGUGAAUGCGGGCUUUGGUCUCUGGUUACUAGCAGAAAGGGGUUUAAUGUGAAAGUUUCCCCCUAUGAGAAAUCUGGAAAUCUGAACUGAUUUACAAAUGACAAAUUGUUCUAUGGCAAAAGAACUAAUAACAGAGCUCCCUCUUAAAUAAUGAUUUAAAGAAAUAGGUCAACAUUUUGGCAGAUGUGCUUUUUUGCUUUCUUUCUGAGAGAGAGAUGAAAGAAAAGCAAUUCAGAAGUGCUGGAUAAACAGUUCAUCAGUAGUUCCAGAACCUAACUCGCGUUAGUAAGUGGGCUUUGUGGUGUUAUAGAUGUCUGUUUGAAUCCCAAUCAUUUCUGCUCCUCACAUUUCUCUUUCCACAAAGAAAGAAUGAGCAGAUUUCCAAAAUGUUGAACUACAUAGAAUAUAGACCAGCUGCUGGUUAAAUCUUCAUCCUGCUUGGUCUUGGAGGUGUCUUCGUGGAUGAAGACGCUUUGAGUUUAAUCUGAUGCAGCUGGCCAGAAUACAUAUUAACAAGUCACACACAACCAAGUGCAUUUGAAUCAAGGGUGGUGAUGCCUGUGGUGUGAAACUCGGGGAACAGGAUGCAGGCUUGAAGCUUGAUGUCAUGUACCACACACACACACACACAGACACACACACACACACACACACGCAGGCGCGCACAGUCAGGCUGGGAGAGGGCAGGUUUGUUUGUUGGUUUAGUUUAGUGAGGGCGACACUUCCUGACAGACAGACCUCGAGACAUGAACCUACUGUGGGACUUUCUCUGAGUGUGCGUGUGCGUGAGAAAGAGAGAGAGAGCAAGUCUUCCUUCUUAAUAUGGACUUGUUGAGCCCAGAGCAGAGGGAGAAGGCCGGAGUGAGAUAAAGGCCUCCUCUCCCUCUGCUGCCUUUUAAGUGAGUCUCUCCCCACUGUGACUAGAAAAGGGAAUGUAUGUAGGCAGGAGGGGGGAAGGGAGGGGGGAGGGGGUGACAGACUAUCAGUGGGAGCGAUCGCAGACUGGAAGAGGGAAUGUUUAUCCAAAGCAGCAAUCCCAUUUUCCAUGAUCCCCAAAGUAAAAGGCUGGCUCGGGCCUUAUAUGGGCAGACUGGAAGUUUCCAGCCCAGCAGAGUCAGAGCAUUCCUGGAAAACACCCGGCUUCUUUCUUUCCCUCUGUCUUUAUAUGUCGCUCUCUCUGUCUCCUCUCUCUCUGAUAAAUCAGGAACUCCGUUUGAGUGUCAGGGCUGCUGCUCAGGGGACAUUUAAAGCCCAUGAGAAGAGUGUAAUCAGACAGUAAAGUAAGCUUUGUUCCCUGUGCUCUUUCAUCAGGUGUUGCUGUUGAGAUAAUGGAGAUCACAGCUGGAGAUCCAGCAGUCUGCACAAGCGGUAAGAGACAACAACUUCAAGACUCUACAGAGCGGUUGGCACUUUAACAACAAUAUCUGUACAUUAUAAACAUAUCCAGAAACACUCCCAUAGAAGCUUUUUAUCUUCUCAUCUAUUCAGGUCACAGUCAGGAAGCCAUAUCCACCACGGCCUCUGCUCAGGGUUUGAGUUCAGAGCUUUAGCUGUAAUACUACAGUAACUCUGGGCGAUAUUGUCCCACAUUAACAACAGAAAAAUACAGGAGCUGUACCAACAUCAGAUGUGUUAGGAAGGUGUUGUUCCACCACCAGCUUGCAGAACAGCUCCAGUGCUCGUGACUUGCCGAGUCUCUGGAGGUGUUUGGAUGGUGGUGGAGAGCGCUGUUUAACAUAUUACUUCCAUACUUAUCAAACCUUUCAGUGAGCUCUUGUGAAACUGCACAGAAGCGCCAGAUUCUGAUCUGCAUGAUACAAAUCCAUCUGUAGUUGAGAUGUGAGUUUGCAUGAAGGCCCUGGUAAGUCAGGCUCAACUCACAUUCUCAAGUCUUCAGAUUGUGACACGAAGGUGUUCACAGCUCUGUCCCUGUGCGUUCUCUCAUCUGAAUCUUCAGAUGGAUUAGAACCUGAAUUUGUUCUGUGCUCAGUCAGUGUCUGAGUUGUAGUUUGUUGUCUUCUUUUUGAAAUUCUGUCAUGAAGCUGGAACUUUGACAUUCUGGAGAUCUAUGCUUUAUACCAAACAUCUGCCACUAACAUUUCUGCCUCCAUUACAUAAGAUUAUAAUAACAUUUUUACAGAUGAUGUAAUACCAUUCAGGUGGGUCAUUUCAUUUGAAAGUAGAAACUUUUUUGCUUUUCACAAUUGCGCCCCCACAGAUUAUGAUGGGGGGAUUUUCUUAUUAUUACAAUAUAGGACAUUUUAUUACAUUAUUGGGUGCUACAUCUGCAUCUCCUAACAUAAAAACAGCCAGGUAAAGCAGCAGAGACUGUAUUUAGUAUUUGAGUAAAUGCACCCGGGUGAAAGGAAGCAGUAGAGAGCCAGUGGUUAUGAAGGGCAUGCGUGAUCUGUUCCUCAGCAUGUGUGUGUGUCUGCAGUGUCUCUUAAAGUAUGUGUGUUGUGUUUCAGAUGUCAGAGAGCAGCAUGUAGUAGAGGGGUGAGUAUCACGCACGCAUGCAGAGUCAUUUCAUUUGUGAGUGCGUGUGGAAAGGCAGAGGGAGCAGCAGCAGGACAGGAAGUUGGCAUUAUGUAGGUCUACUGGGCUUUAAAGUCAUUUCCUGUUUACCCCUCCCCAACAAGAAUGCUUGUGCUGUACCCUCUAUCUCUCUGUCUCACACACAACACACACACCUUUUCAUGUCCUUGUUCAUCUCCCACUGCUUUGACUGAUAUUUCCAAUGUGUUCGAAAGACUGUAGAGGCAGAGUCUGUAUUUCCAGCACAACGUCCCCUCCCUGCAAGGUGCAUGGAGAAGGGAAAAGUCUGAAGAGGUCUAAGCUUGUAGUAUUCAGAACAGCUUGAUUGUGAGAUUAACACGUCUCAGCUGGUGGCCAUGGGUGACCCUGAUGAACACAUUGGUCUGACAGUAAAGCUGUUCUGAAUGCUACAAGUGUUUCUGGAGUGUUAGAAAGAUCCAGAAAUGUAGCUCAACUGUGUCUUAGGUGUAAAUGAAGACGUUCCCAUCAUGUGAGGCUGAUCUGAUUGGUCAGAUUGGUCUGAUGUUUCCUCUGUCUUUAGAAUAACCUGUCCUUCAUGAUGCUUAGAGAGAUGUGUUUAUUCUGUGUUCACAUCAUGUCACUUGUAUUGCUCUGACGUUAGCUUUAGCUUCACCUGUGAGUUCACUUCAUUAUGAGUCACGUCAGCUGAUUGACUCACCUGAGUUCACGAGCUAAAAUCAAUAACUUUGGUGUGAUGGUUUUUUGUCAACUGCAAAGACGUUUGUGUGCACCUUGCAGUUUGUGUGGUGCUCAUGUUGUUGAGUCAGAAAGAAAAUGUGUGCAGCCGAUGUAACGAACAUGGUUUCUAAACUGUCCCUGUGUUUUUCUCCAGUUGACUUCCUGGACCAUCCCUGCGGCCCACGGUGCAGUGCUGCAUCUCUGGUCAUUUGGUAGUCUGAGAUGAAGCACUGUAGCUCGGGACGGAGGACAGAAAUUCGAGUCUGAGCAUAUCCAGAGCCAGGUAACAGCAUCCCCAAUCUGCAGCAGGUCUCCAAGGCUCAGGUUAGGGCCACAGGACACCUUGUGGAUCACAAUCAGUUUAUCCAUUCAUAGGAAAGCUGUUUCUGUUACCUUUAUGUAUUUAGAGGACACAAAAAUUGAAGUUGUAGAAUUUAUCACAAAAUGUGGAUUAGGGCACAUUUAAAAUUAUUCCUAUGAUGUUCAACAUUACAAAUUUCAGAUAAAUGAAAUCAGUAAUAUGACCCCCGUCUGCCAAAGUGUGUGACAGGGUUUUAGACAUGGCACCAUCAGAAGGAAAGCAAAAGAUGUGACAGUUUCAAAGCUUCUAAUGUGCAAUCUGUAAAUGGGAAGUGUGCAAACCACAGCUGGGUGUGUGAGGAGUGGGACCCAGCGGUGUUGAUGUGAUGACGGUUGAUGAUGAUGAUGGUGGUGGGUGGAUCCCAUCAGAAGAGGAAGUGCUCAAUGACCUCUUGGUUUUCUUCUCCUCUCUCCUGGGGUCCAGUUUUCCCAGGAAUCCCUUGACCUAUCAGAAAGGGGGAUUCCUGGAAAUACUGUUCUUGGGGGCGGGGCUUAUCAACAAUUCCAUGUAAAGUCUUGAGGAUUAUGUGUGGUGUGUGUGAAAACAUGUAUUGUGUAGGAACACGAGAAAAACGAGGCCUUAAUGUUUCCGUCAUGCCCCCCCCCCCAUCCUCAGCGCUGAGGGGUUCCAAUGUGAAAUGUCUGUGUUAUUGCUCAUUGUUGAAUAAACAUUCAAAACAAAGAAA